GGUUCAUUCAAAUUUCUCCCCUAUCAACUUUCGACGGCUGGGUCUUGGCCAGCCAUGGUGACAACGGGUAACGGAGGGUUAGGGCUCGACCCCGGAGAGGGAGCCUGAGAAACGGCUACCACAUCCAAGGAAGGCAGCAGGCGCGCAAAUUACCCAAUCCUGAUCAGGGAGGUAGUGACAAUAAAUACUGAUACAGGUCCUUUUGGGUCUUGUAAUCGGAAUGAGUACAAUUUAAAUCUCUUAACGAGGAACAAUUGGAGGGCAAGUCUGGUGCCAGCAGCCGCGGUAAUUCCAGCUCCAAUAGCGUAUAUUAACGUUGUUGCAGUUAAAAAGCUCGUAGUUG
rnacentral:rRNA from 1 species